AAUCAGUAGGCCUUAACCAACUUCAGUAAUGUAAAUUUAGUGUUAUAACAAUGAACCCCAAAAAAGACAUUAAAAUGAUGAAAUAAAAUGGAAGAAAAUGUUACCCACAGUUUUAGGGCCAAAGAGUGGACGUCACCCCCAACAACUGCUACCCCAUCCCCUUCUUUCCUGUGCGUUGUCAACAUUUCCCUCUUCCCGCUAGCAAACAGUCCCAUGGCCUUCAAAGACGGUCCCCUCGUCCACAGUCCACGCCUUUUCUCUACCUCAAGGACUCCCUCACCUUCAAAUUCUCCUAUUGGAAUCAGAUUGGGGCAGGAGGAUAGUAGCAAUUUGGAUUUAAAAUUGUGAAUGAAAACGUCAUUGAUCUAAGGAAUACAAGAAUUGAUACAUCAAAUUAGGGUUGAAUUAGGGGAAAAGUGAGAUAUGGUAACACGCGGGGUCCAAUUUUCAUGGUUUGCUCCAAAUUAGUUGCUUUUGAGUUUUGAAUCAUUUCAAAUUCAAAUUGAAAUUAUUGACAUGAAAGUAGCCUAAAAUUCGCAGACCUUUCUCUCUCUUGGUUCUCUACACAGGUUUCUUUCUCUCUAUUUGUUGGUAUUUCUUUCUUCCCAAACUCUCCUUUCUCUUUUCCAGUCCCUUUCUGUUCCUCUCUAAGCAUCCGAUACUUGACCUAAACUUCCUCCAAGGUUUGAUUUUUAUUUUGUAUGUAGUCUACAUAAUUUUUCUUCUCUGUUUUUUUUUUCUUUCUGUUCCACCGCUUCUUUUUCUAUUUCCCUUUCUCUUUGCUACGAUCUGGCUCACACUCUCCUCCCUCUUCCACCUCAUUUACCUCUUUCCUUCUGUUUUACACCCAUGGGUUCGAGUGCGUCAUUUCUUUUUCAAAGUAAAUGUUUUCUUUCAUAAAUUUCUUUGUUUUUAAUUUUAAUUUUGCUGGAGGAUUUUCGUUCAGAUUUUAUUUUGGUUUUGGGUCUUCCUUUGUUUUUUAUGUUCAUUUUCAUUACUAUGUUUGAGCUUGAUUUUGUUUAAAGGGUUUCUACUUUUGGAUUCUGCUAUGGCCAUGUGUUAUUUUCUACAUCAAAUUGUUUACCUUGUGCUCAAACUGGAUCUUUUAUUUGUUUGUUAUAUGAUCUUAUGUUCCUAAUUUAUAUCAUUUUACACUUAAAUUGCAGGGUUUGUUGCAACAACAGGAUAAUGACGAAGAUGCACAUCUUCUUAGUCCUAAAGCUUUGUUCCCCCUAUCUCCAUCUGGUACUGGACAGACAGAUUUGCAUGAGGUAGCCAGAUCAUGUAAGGAAGAGCUGUAUGUUCUUCUGAAAUCAUACUUUCUAUUCAAUAUGAGAAAAAUUGAGUUUUUUAAGAUGAUUAGCAUGGUCUUGGUGAGUGCAUGAAGGAGGAAGCAAGUUAAGUUAGAAAGUAGAAUCUAAUUGUGGUGAGUACUCCUAAUGACCACAAGCUAUUUGAGUAGGUGUGUAAGUUUCUUAUGAAAGUUCUGUUAUAGUUGCAUUUUUGCCUAUUUGUAUCAAGGUUGCUUCCUUAAGUUGAGGUGUUAUUAUCUUUUUUGUUGCUUAAUUAUGGUGAAGUGUUUUUCCUGUUACCAUUUUUCUUUAAAUUUCUUCCAGUUCAUGAUUAUUUGUUCUUAAACUAGAUGAAGAAACACAAGCUGUUACAAGAGCUUUAGUUUGUAAGUAAGCUCCUUGGUUUUCUUUGAUAUCUUUUUUCUAUUAUUGUUUUCUCAAUUCUUUUUAUCAACCAAAUAGUUAUAUUUUGUAAGCCCCCUAAUGAUAUAAACACCAGCUCAGGAACAUUUUAUACUUAAUGCCUCUUUAAGUUAUAACUUGCUAUUGUCAGCUCUUUUUCAAGCUUCAGUUUGUAUUCUGAAUUCUGAAAAUUGAUAUGCUUGCCCCUAUCACACCUAGAAAAGUCACUGAUUUUAAUCCCUUGAUUAUAGAAAGGUCCGGUGAAACUCCUUGCUGUGCUUUGAUUAUGCAUACUACACAUUGUAAUUCUAUUUAUUGGACUUGAUUCCCCUUUAUUGUAUGACCUGUUAAGUUCAAGAGAAACCCAAAGAAAGUGUAGGUGUUGGUGAAAAAUUAGAGCCUUUGCAAUUUAUAUUACCCAUGAAUUGAAAUUCUUAAGGACUUGAUUCACAUGCUUUGCAAAAUCAUGAACAAUGGAUUUUUUUCUUAUUAUUUUUCUGAACAUCCAAACAAAAGAAUUUCUUACACCUUUAGAUUUACUUGAGUUGAGCUUUAAGACUAUAACACUUUCAACUUACAUUACAUUACAAUGAUAGUAAAGCAAACUAGCAGCUUGUGCUCUGUAUACAAAGUGAGUACAUUUUUCGCUCAUUAUUAACCAAUUUUUUUGGACUUGAAGCAGAACUUGCAAUACAUCACUUGCUUUGUUUCCUCCAUAUUUACUUGCAGGCAAAAUGGUUUAACCACCAUAUACCUAAACCUUUAGCAAUGAUACAAGGAAUGUUGAAGAUAAUGAAAUUUCUAAUAUUUAUGUAAGAUAACACAACAAGAACUGCUUGCUGCAGAGAUAGAGAUGGGCAGUAAGUCAAGACGAGAGGCGAUAACUAAGAAAAUGCUUAUCCUCUAAUUGCAGUCUUUUGUACAUGGGGUGCCUGAUAUAUAAUUUAGAAUGAGAUUUUCAGUGUAUUGUUUUUGCUGUAAUGGAAUGUGUUUUUUGGAAUUGUAAAAUGUUGUACUACAGAUCUAAAUUGAAAUGAAUUGGGAUUUACUUGAA